rnacentral:tRNA from 1 species
GCUGGUGUAAACAGUUAAUGUGCUUGGCUGCCAACCAAGUGGUUGGAGGUUAGAAUCCACCCAGAGGCA